AUCAUCAUUUAUAAUUUGAAGUUAGUACAAGUUCAAAAAAUUACAACAAUAAUAAAAUUAUCCAUUUUAUUAUAGCUUGAUCUUGUUCACUUCUUGUUGUGAUUUGAUAUGCUACAACCUGUAUUACGAAUAUGGUAAAUCAUUAAAAAAAUAAAUAUAUCAAGAUUUGGUAUGGAUAGUUAUUAAAAAAUUUUAAAAAAAAAACCUCUCUACCUAGGCCCAGCCUAAUUUCCUGAAAGAAUUUUUUGGCCUAGGCGAGGCGCCAGGGGGGCCUAGCGCCUAGGCGGGGCCUAGGCAGCUGCCUUUUAGAACACUUAAUUUAUCAGAAGGUCAUAGGAAGACGUGCGUGGCUUAUCGGUCCAGUUUCACUCUGUAACAAAGACAGUGAGGAUAAAUCACAAAGAGGUAACAAGGUCUCAAUUGAUGAAAAUGAGUGUUUAAAUUGGCUCAUCUCCCCAAAAAAAAUUUCUGUUUCCUACAUAUGUUCUGGAAGCAUGUCCAAUUUUUCAGCUGCACAGCUACAUGAGAUAGCAUUGGUCUUGAAGCUUCCAGACAGCAAAUUAUUUGGGUGGUGAGGAAAGAGAAAGAGAACGAUGAAGAACAGGAGAGGUGGUUGCCUGAAGGAUACAAAAAAAGGAUGGAGGACAAGGGUUUAAUAAUAAGAGGGUGGGCGCCCCAAGUUCUAAUCCUUGAUCAUGAAACGCUCCUGCGCCAAAGCAAUUACAAUUUGAAACCAUGUAAAAGCUCAUAUAUGCUGGAUUUCUAUGAUUUUUAAUAUAUUAUCUUGUUGAGAUAUCUCCAAUAGCCUAUAUCGCCUACUUCUUGUAUGAUUGAGGUAACCAUCGACUCAUCUUGAUAAUUAAUUAAUUUUAAUAAAUAAAUAAAUAAUAAUGCUUACCAACCAUUUUCAAACUUAUUUACUCAAAUUAUGUAUCACUUCACCUUUAUGGUCCAUAUCAAUAUUAUAUUUUUUCAGUUUCCCUUUCGGUUUGUUAUUUAGUUUUUUAUAUACACAUGUAUGUAUUUUUUAUUACAUGUAUUUCCAUUUAUUUAUCCUGUUUUAUUUUCUUCUUUUUAUCCUUUUAUUUCUUCUUCUAACCUUUUUCAACCUACCCAGCUCCGAUAAUAGGCGUUGAGUAGUUAAGUAUAUUUGCCCAUACACUUCGUAAAACUCAAAAUGCAGCAAGGAACACAUAAAAUACACCCCGCAAUAAUACGAGCAAUAAUUCAAAAGAGAAACAGGUAGAUAAUAGAUUCAUCCCACUUGCAGUUUUCCUCAUUGACAUACCAAAUAUACAAUACAUAUGUCUGAUAAAUAAUACAUGUGUGUUUGUGCGUGUAGAAAAAGAUAAAUAAACAUACAAAUUAUGCAACUUACAAUAAUUCAAGACAAAUCCACUACAGAUAAUUUGUCAGCAUCCACUCCUGCAAAAUUGCCAUUGAAAACACAGAUUUAUACAGCAAAACUUGGGUCAUAACUGUGCAAAUUGCGAGCAAAAGAACAGAAUUGUAAAACUUGAUUGGGAGAAAAAAACAAAUAUCAUACUUGCUUCAAUAAACAACUAAAACAAUUACAUGAAAUUCAGUGAAACUUUGAAUACAGGAAAGUUUAUUAAAACUAAGAAAAUAAUGGGUUGAUGACCGACACUUGUUGAUAUGAUUUAGAUCCCAAAAUAUUCAGAAAUCAAAUUAAACAAAUAUGGAAACAGGGGUGGUGACUGACCAUAUUUCACAGUAAAAAAAUAAGAAAAAGUGAAAUUUUUUUUUCAUUUCGGAGCAAAUUAAGUGAGAAAUUUACUUCAGAUUACGGCAAUUGGGAAUUUCCACAAAGAUUGGAAAUUUAUUUUCCUCCUAAUCGUCGGUCGGAGGUCUGUAAGAAUCAAGCUGCCAUCACAGAAGAAACAGUCAAUAAAAAAAAAAGGUUCAGCAGUUCCUUUAAUUUCUAGUCAAUCAAGCGUUGAUCUUCAAAAUUGCAGAGCUUCUGGAGCAAUCAAAGCGUUGAUUUUCAAAAAUCCAAGCUUUACUGGCUGAAGAGUUCGAUAUUCCCACCAGCCAAGACAAUUAGGCUCAACUGUUAUGGGUCCCUACUACACGAACCCACAUUCUCAAUAUGGAGUGUCCCGUGGCUCGGACACAGGGGAAUGCUUCAGAUGAUUUAUUAGAUUGACC
rnacentral:lncRNA from 1 species